rnacentral:rRNA from 1 species
AGCGAACGCUGGCGGCAGGCUUAACACAUGCAAGUCGAGCGCCGUAGCAAUACGGAGCGGCAGACGGGUGAGUAACGCGUGGGAACGUGCCCUAAGGUACGGAACAACCAAGGGAAACUUUGGCUAAUACCGUAUGUGCCCGAGAGGGGAAAGAUUUAUCGCCUUAGGAGCGGCCCGCGUCUGAUUAGCUAGUUGGUGAGGUAAUGGCUCACCAAGGCGACGAUCAGUAGCUGGUCUGAGAGGAUGAUCAGCCACACUGGGACUGAGACACGGCCCAGACUCCUACGGGAGGCAGCAGUGGGGAAUAUUGGACAAUGGGCGCAAGCCUGAUCCAGCCAUGCCGCGUGAGUGAUGAAGGCCUUAGGGUUGUAAAGCUCUUUCGACGGGGAAGAUAAUGACGGUACCCGUAGAAGAAGCCCCGGCUAACUUCGUGCCAGCCGCCGCAGUAA